GUGGGUGUAGCUCAGUCGGUUAGAGCGUCGGUUUGUGGUACCGAAUGUCGGGGGUUCGAAUCCCCUCACUCACCC
rnacentral:tRNA from 1 species